GCUGGGAGUGGUGGUGCACACCUAUAAUCCCAGUGAUUUGGGAGGCUGAGGCAGGAGGAUCGUGUGUUCAAAUCCAGCCUCAG
rnacentral:sRNA from 1 species